GAAGGAGGGAGGGAGAGGUGGGGGUUGAAAGAAGCUGGAAGGUAUUAUGGACUAUUUCCUUGCCGUCCUAGAAGCUCCAGCUUGUUCCCUCCCACUCAGCCGGCAGAGUUCUAGGACAAAGUAAAGGAAACGCCGAAAACUUGAACCUGCUAUUCUCCAGCUGCCUCGGCCUUCUAUAGCUCACUUGUUUUCUUUCCCUGCCGUUCCCUGUGUGUGUUUCUCUCGCUUGCUCUCUCACUCCCUCGCCCUCUCCCUGCUGUUAGUGUCUCUCUCUCUCUCUCUCUCUCUCUCUCUCUCUCUCUCUCUCUUUCUCUGGGCUGUGUGUAAGAGGAUCACUUUGUUUCCGUUGCCUUUUUCCGCGGUGCUGUAGACACACAUGGAGGAGAGGACUGGGUUUGAGGAGAUACUGACGGGGGUGCACAGCUGCAACAGUCCCCUCCAUCUCCACACCAGGACUAAUGCCCCCCUCUCUCUCUCUCUCUCUCUCUCUCUCUCUCUCUCUCUCGCUCUGUCGCGCUCUCCCUGCUUUCUGCCUCUCAGAGGGGUGGGGGGUGCCAUAUGGGAGCUCAGAAAAAUGGAAGUGGAUCGGAGAUAGACAAGAGAGGAAUCUUUCAUUCUCGAGCUCGGAUGUCGGGAUCUAUGUGAGACCCAAACUAAAAAACUGCCCUGCCAGAAAUCCCUAUUUCCCACCCCCCUUGGGCAAGACACAUCCACCAAGGGAGCCCCGGCAAUUCAUCUUUCUCCAUGCUCGAAGAGUGAUGUGGAGGAAGAGGAUGGAGAACGGUGUGGAGAUGGAGGAGGGUUGAAGUGGAGUGCUGGAGGCGUUUCCUGCCAGCACAAAAAGAGCAGAGUCAAGCCCCGCACCCCCCACCUCCUCAGCACCUCUUCAUUAGUAUGCACCGGCUGUCACACAGGUGACAUGGCCGCUGGAUUCAGUCCUGACUGCAGGAACAUCAGCAGCGUGGCAGAAAGCAGGACAGCAGGUAAGGACAAUGAGAGCAAGGGGCGGGGAGGAAGAGGGAGACAAGGGGGACAGACGAUGGACUUCUUUUAUGGACUUAGGUCACACAUGCAUACACACUUUACGAAUGUAACAUAAACACACACGUUAUCAGAUUCAAGUGCUUUUCCCUAAUAAAAUAUGCAGUGAUUUCA
rnacentral:lncRNA from 1 species